UACGUAGGGUGCAAGCGUUAAUCGGAAUUACUGGGCGUAAAGCGUACGCAGGCGGUUAUGUAAGACAGAUGUGAAAUGCCCGGGCUUAACCUGGGAACUGCAUUUGUGACUGCAUGGCUAGAGUUUGGCAGAGGGGGGUAGAAUUCCACGUGUAGCAGUGAAAUGCGUAGAUAUGUGGAGGAACACCGAUGGCGAAGGCAGCCCCCUGGGUCAAAACUGACGCUCAUGCACGAAAGCGUGGGGAGCAAACAGG
rnacentral:rRNA from 1 species